rnacentral:tRNA from 1 species
GCCCUCGUAGCUCAGGGGAUAGAGCAUUGGCCUCCGAAGCCAUGUGCGCAGGUUCGAAUCCUGCCGGGGGCACCA